CCUACGGGAGGCAGCAGUGGGGAAUAUUGCACAAUGGGGGAAACCCUGAUGCAGCGACGCCGCGUGAGUGAAGAAGUAAUUCGUUAUGUAAAGCUCUAUCAGCAGGGAAGAAAAUGACGGUACCUGAGUAAGAAGCCCCGGCUAACUACGUUCCAGCAGCCGCGGUAAUACGUAGGGGGCAAGCGUUAUCCGGAUUUACUGGGUGUAAAGGGAGCGUAGGCGGAAGUGCAAGUCUGAAGUGAAAGGGGGGGGCUCAACCCCCGGACUGCUCUGGAAACUGUACGGCUGGAGUGCAGGAGAGGUAGGUGGAAUUCCUAGUGUAGCGGUGAAAUGCGUAGAUAUUAGAAAGAACACCAGUGGCGAAGGCGGCUUACUGGACUGUAACUGACGUUGAGGCUCGAAAGCGUGGGGAGCAAACAGGAUUAGAUACCCGAGUAGUC
rnacentral:rRNA from 1 species